UACGUGGGGGCCGAGCGUUGUCCGGAGUUACUGGGCGUAAAGGGCGCGCAGGCGGCGGCGUGGGUCCGGCGUGAAAGCCCCCGGCUCAACCGGGGAACGUCGUCGGGGACCGCGCCGCUUGAGGGCGGCAGGGGCCGGUGGAAUGCCUGGUGUAGUGGUGAAAUGCGCAGAUAUCAGGAGGAACACCGGUGGCGAAGGCGGGUCUCUGGGCCGAUACUGACGCUGAGGAGCGAGAGCGUGGGGAGCGAACAGG
rnacentral:rRNA from 1 species